rnacentral:rRNA from 1 species
AUGUUUGCAGAUGAUAGUAUAGUUUUCCUUGAGGGAACCAAAGAGAAUAUGGAAACGCUAAAACAGAUUCUUGAAAAGUAUGAGAAAGCAUCUGGACAGAAAGUAAAUUUGCAGAAAUCCUCCAUCUUUUUUGGAGAAGGUAGCCAUGAUGUGAUGAAGGAUCAGAUUAAGCAGAUCGUGGGGAUCCAAUCCGAGGCUCUUAGUGAGCGAUACUUGGGCCUCCCAACACUGGUUGGUAGGUCCAAGGAUGGCACGUUUAAAUAUGUUACGGAGUGUGCUAAGGGCAAAGUGUGCGGUUGGAAGAGGCAAGGAUUGUCAAAAGCAGCUAGAGAAACUCUUGUUAAAUCAGUGUUGCAAGCGACGCCGACCUAUACCAUGAGUUGUUUUCACCUCUCGAAGAAGAUGUGCCGGAACCUGACUUCAAUCUCGUCAAAAUUCUGGUGGGGUGCAACGAAUGGUGAGAGAAAGGUCCAUUGGAUCGCUUGGGAGAAAAUGUGUGCGAGCAAGAGGGAUGGGGCAUGGGGUUUCGUGACCCCGAGGCCUUCAACCAAGCUUUGUUGGCGAAACAAGCAUGGCGUAUUCUCCAAGUUCCAACUUCUCUAUGUGCUAGAGUGUUUCAGGCAAGGUAUUUUCAAGAUAAUUCAAUCAUGUCCGCUUCCUGCCCAGCUUCGGAUUCGUUCACUUUCAGGAGCAUUUUACACGGCCAGGAUUUGCUAA